rnacentral:rRNA from 1 species
CGUAGGUGGCAAGCGUUGUCCGGAUUUACUGGGCGUAAAGGGUGUGUAGGCGGAAUUUUAAGUAGAAAGUGAAAGGUUGGAGCUCAACUCCAACACUGCUUCCUAUACUGGAAUUCUUGAGUCCCGGAGAGGAAGAUGGAACGACACGUGUAGCGGUGAAAUGCGUUGAUAUGUGUCGGAACACCAAUGGCGAAGGCAGUCUUCUGGACGGGUACUGACGCUGAGACACGAAAGCCAAGGGAGCGAACAGGAUUAGAUACCCUGGUAGUCUUGGCCCUAAACUAUGUUCACUAGGUGUCGGGGGUUCCCCUCGGUGCCGCAGCUAACGCAUUAAGUGAACCGCCUGGGGACUACGGCCGCAAGGUUG